rnacentral:rRNA from 1 species
GACGAACGCUGGCGGCGUGCCUAAUACAUGCAAGUAGAACGCUGAAGGAGGAGCUUGCUUCUCCGGAUGAGUUGCGAACGGGUGAGUAACGCGUAGGUAACCUGCCUGGUAGCGGGGGAUAACUAUUGGAAACGAUAGCUAAUACCGCAUAAGAGUAGAUGUUGCAUGACAUUUGCUUAAAAGGUGCAAUUGCAUCACUACCAGAUGGACCUGCGUUGUAUUAGCUAGUUGGUGGGGUAACGGCUCACCAAGGCGACGAUACAUAGCCGACCUGAGAGGGUGAUCGGCCACACUGGGACUGAGACACGGCCCAGACUCCUACGGGAGGCAGCAGUAGGGAAUCUUCGGCAAUGGACGGAAGUCUGACCGAGCAACGCCGCGUGAGUGAAGAAGGUUUUCGGAUCGUAAAGCUCUGUUGUAAGAGAAGAAACGAAGUGUGAAGAAGUGGAAAAGUUUCACCACUGUGAAU